UUUUCUCUGCCAUCACAGUGCAAAUUGAAAACCAGCUAAGAAUAAAUCUUCAUGUAGAUAAGGGAACAGUAGUCUCCCAUGCUCCAGUGUGCUUUUUAGUCCUGAUUUUCCAUGUUCCUUGCAAGCAGUUAGGAGCAAAGAUCAUGAGUUCAGAUGGCUGGCUGUGUGCACACUUUCUUGAGUUUGAAUUCCAGUGAGGAGAACAGGAGCAGAGAAAAACAUGGAUAAAUGCGUGUUAUAAUUUUAAACAAAACUUCUUAAAACUAGGCAUGGUUGCUAAGUAACAAAAACAUACUUAACCUUUUCUAAUGAUUAACAAAACUCAGAAUUCACAGGAAUCAAAUAGCAAAGGAGUUUUGCAGACAUUCCUUUUUUCAGGGGAGUUUUCCAGGCUGCUUACAGUUUUUACUCUUCUAAAAUUUGCAUAGAAAAAAGGGAGGAAAUUAUCCAGAUUAAUGGGAAAAAAAAAAAAAAAAAGGAGGUGUUAUUCCCAUGGAAUACUAACAAGUGUUAUUUGUCUCUCAAAGUGUUCUUUUUCCUGAAUGAUACUCCCCCUGAAAUAAGAUUUGUGUGUGAAGGUAGUUAGUUUUAGGGUAGAGGCCUAGUUUUGCAAGGUUUAUUUCUCUCAUUGCAAAGACACUGUGCAUAACAUUUGCCUUGACUCUUAAUAGUCAAUCGAUGGUAAGAGUCCUCAAAGAUUUUAUUUCCAGCCAGGUCUUCAUCCUUUUCUCUCAUCAUAAUCACAUACAUUGCUUAAACACUUUAUUAUUUCUGCUCUUGAAAGUUUCCUAUUGCAUGUGCUAAAGUUAAACAGAGCCCAUCUCACCUUCCUAUCUCUAGCUUCAUUUGCAAAGCCUUUAUCAGUACAUUUUGCUAAAUUUCUUGCGUAAUUCCUACAAAGUAGUAUAUAAGGGAACAAAUUCACUUCCUUCUAAGGGUCAUGAUUUUAGAUAACCCAAGGUUGUACAAGUGAAAAACACAUUCCAGAUCUUUUUUGAAUAUUCAUGAGACUUUAGUUCAAUACAAUGUUACCAAUACCUCAAAUACAUAUUACUUCCCAAGUCGUUUUUUGCUAUAAAAGUCUCAGGAAAUCAGAAUCUUUGUAAGACAACCUGUCUUCUUGCCUAUCUAAAGAAGACUAGACAGAUUAGUUCAGAUUUAUUCUUUAUUUAUGGUUCCUAUCUUAAAUCUGCUGUUGUUGUAUGUAUCUACCUAUUUAGGUACCGGAGAAGUAGCAACCUGUAGCUAAUGCUAUUGUGUGCAAUUGAUUGCAAGAUCCUUGAUCUCUAUGCAUUUCCACUGUGAGAUUUCAUUUCUGUAUCUAGUGAAAAUGUUUACAGUUAUUUCCUAGUCUACAUUCCCUUUCUCUCUUUCAUUAGCAGAUAGUACAUCCUCACAGGGUACAUGGACAACAUGGAAAGAGUUGGUGUCUGUUACUAUCACACAGCCUUUGUUUGGACCAUCAAGGACUGGGAUGUAGAACAGUUUUCUUAUUAUCUCCAUCUCAGAAAAGUAUGUCAAACACCUGUUUGCAGAAAAACAAGAUACUCAGUAAAACCAGAUAGCUAUUUUCAGGAUGAUGUCCCUUGUUCUUAGGAAAACACCAAGGUAUUGGGAGCAGUCAAAAGGAACUGUAUUGCAUUUUUGAUCCAAUUUCUUUUACAAAUAUAACACUUCAAAUUUUCUAACUUGAAAAUAUACUUAGCAUCAUAAUUCAAGACAACAGCAGAAGAGAUGUUAAAAAUGAACCAGUAUCUAAAAAACAUGCAGAGUCAAUUGGUAUGAUAUGUUUUGGUCAAUACAAACUAAUAAAUACAAAUACGAUCAUCAUUAUGUCAAAUACUUUGAAGUUGUCAACUAUUUUUCCUUAUCUUGUAUAGGAAUUUUAUUGAUUGAUUGAUUGAUACCACAAAUAUAAUUUUUAAGAUGAAAAACUUCCUUCCUUAAAAAGUUGAGAGAAUUGCCCCAUCCCUGGCAGUACUGAAGGCCAAGUUGGAUGGGGCUCUGAGCAACUGAGACUAGUGGGAGGUGUUCCUGUCUGUUGCAGGAGGGUUGUAAAUAGGUGAUCUUUAAGGUCCUUUCCAACUCAAAGCAUUUGAUUUGGCAGUAGUUGUUCCCAAAAAUAAGCUAAAGAACAAAGACAUGAAGAAUAGGACUACCAGAUAGAUCACUAAUAUAGUGACAAUUUAAUUCUUUAUACAUUCUAAAUUGAAAAGCUCAAUUGAAUGGUGACUUAAACCAUUCGUGGAAUAAAACUAAAGAGACUCUCCCAUUGAUCCUUAGAUAACCCUUAGAAGACCUAGAUUUCAAGGAUGCACUGUCUAUCAGAGACCUAGAUGUAAAAAGGUUUUUUGAUUAUGUUCAAUAGGGGUGAAGUUCAUUUCACUGGUUUGUGAUAUCGCUAAGUUAGAUGCUUAAGCCUAAGUUGAUGUUGUGCUCCAUUUCAAACCCAGGGAUUGAAAGAACCUCCUUAUAUUGACAGCUCAUCAGGUUUGUACUACAGGUAUAUUUCUGAACAAGGUGAAUUGCUCUGUUUGCACAUUUGCUUGUGUAGUCAAUAGAUGAUAGUUAAGGUAGCCUGGGAAACCUAGCUUAAAAUGAGAGAUCUAAGCUUUAAGCACCUAAAAACAAUCGAUUUCCCAAUUUUUUUUUUUUUUUUUUUUUUUUUGAGAAUUGGUCAAAAUGAUGAUGUCAUGUCUCAGAUUACCAUGAUGUUUCAAAAUGUCUCUCAUUCAUACACAUACUUUAGCCAUGGUACCACAUAAAUACAGCAGUGCAUGCUGCUUACUCAUCUCUGAAGAAAUUAGUAGAUCUUCCUGUAGCUUUAGUUAUGAUUAAUAAAAAAUGCAAAACUUUUAUUAGAAAUUUUAUUUAUUUCCACUGUAAGCAAACGGAAAGUGCCCCAGAAUUAUGGAUGGUACCUUCCUAGUUUUGAAUUUAUUGCAUUGCUUUGGAAUACUGCUCUUUCUAAAACCAUUAAACACCAAAUUGAUUUUAAAUGCUGAGAUCUGAAAUUUAAAAAAAGAGAGUUACGGUAUUGAUUCCUUUUACAUAAAUAUUUUUGGAGUUUCAGAAUUACAAAGCAGAAUCAAAUCAUGUAAAUGCAAUCUCCUUACUGAUAUUUACAGUUAAGAACUCAUAUGAAACAGAAGACAAAAUCAGCCACAUCCUGACUGGGUUAAAAAGGUAGACAGAAUCAUUAAGGCUGACAAAAUUAAGUUGCAGAUUCUGCUACAAACAAUACAAGCUUUUUUUUUUUUUUUUUAAAGUUUUUCUUUUAGUUGGAAAAAUUUUAUUAAACUAUGUGAUGGCACUGGAAAAUGAAGGAAGUGGGACGUGUUGGUCUGUACAUACUCCAGACAUAAGACUUCAUUCAUUUGAAAACCGUAAGAGACAACAACUGGAGAGAAACUUCAGGAUGCUACAGAUUCAUGCAGAAUAAGUCAACAGCAUUGAAAAGCCUCCUGCAAGAUAUUUCAUUAGAAAAUUAUCAGUGCCAUGGCUGAAGUAUCUGUCUUUGUGCCAUCAAAUAUUUAAUCAUAUAAACUUCUAUAUAAAGCAUGACUCUCCUUAUUCUGUUAAUCCAUAAGGAAUGCAUAGAAAUGCUAACCAGUCUAUACUUUUAAUCAUAAUUUAAAAACAAACAAACACUUAUAUUGAAAAUACGGUUACUUAUAUUUUCAACUGAUAUACACCAUGCAAACUAAGUUGAUGGGUGGCCAGCAUGACACCAAAAAAGUAUCUCGUUCUCUUUCCAUGACAUGUACAACGUUUAUGAGAUAUGUCUUUUCUGCCUGACAUCUUAGAUUUGUUGCAGAGCUGGGGAAUUCUUUGUGAGCUCACAGUGGGUAAGAUGAGAGGACAAUGACAGGAGGAGAGUCAGAACUCCAACUCACUGGUCAACUUUGUUCCCUCUACGUUUAUUCAUUGCACCCCGUUGUCCCUUUCAGCCUGCCUCCCACACAUAUACACACACACACGUCUUGUUGAUGAAGUGCAUCCAUAUGAUUUCUAAACUUAUAGUAACUGCCUUUCAAUGAAUUUACAUUUUCAAGGGACAGUAACAAUUAACAUAAAGAGGAACUAGAGACCUACUUAUUUCUUGAACAAGCUCCUUCCUUCCCAUUGCAGCAUCUUCACAGGAGGGGGAAUUCCCUGCUCUAGUACAAUUCACAAGGUCUACUUCUUCAGAUAUGCUCAGAAAUUAAAUAAUAGGCAAAUGUACAGAUGCAGAAUCCAGCUGUUUGAAACUAGGACUGAAAGAAAAGCAAAGUGCAUCACAUAUAAUCCAAUCAAGUUGACACCUCUGAUCUCCAUUUAAAGGCUACGUGUGACAGAAAUGUUUGAAAUUCUAUAUGAUUUUUUCCCUAUUUUUUUCUGUUUGAACAAUGGCAACAAUUCAAGAGAAUAUGACAAAGCAGUAAAAAAGAAAACAUAGAGGUUAAGUAUGAAAUACAAAAAUAAUAAUAAUUAAAAAAUCCUGCAGACUAGUGUUAAAAUGCCACGAAGCACAGUUUAUUAUUUAAGAUCAAAUGAUCCAAGGUGAGCUACAACUGAAUCUAAACUUCACUGGGAGCUUCUACUUUCGCUCUGAAAGUCAUCUUGCCUUUGGCAUCUAACCUUAAUCUGCUGGAGAUGCCACUCACCGCUGGCAGCACCAAGUCCUACAGAAGGCACCGCCAUUAUCUCUCAGCCUCACAGCGAACAGAGAGGUGACAGUGGUUGGUAGGAUUGGCUUCUGGCAAGGGCUGUCAUCCAGAAAGCAAGAUUAUGGUUAAGAAAUUCAAGGAAUUCAAAACUUUAUGCACCAGAAGAGUGCUGCUGACAUCAGGCUAUAGAAAUACUCCAAAUUGAUGCAGGCAUGAGAAGACCCAGCUCACACUUCUGCUAAGCAGAAACAGGAAUUCAGCCUAUGUUCAUUCCUCUACUGAUUAGCUCUGAGCACUGCCCUUGCAAAGGACAUUUUUGUAGACCAUUCUUUUAAGACAACUAAAUGCCUCAUCAAUGCACUCACCAAUGAAGCAUCUUUAAAAAAGAAUAUAAUUAUUUUCUCUGACUCUAUGAUAAGGAAUCUACUGGCACAAGUUGACCCUCCUGAGCUAUGGAGUUGGUUUCUAAUUUGAUAGCAUUGCAAUAUUUGAUUUGUCAGAGUAUAGACAGCUUCUUUGCAACUCAAUCUUAGUGCAGAAAGCCUUCAAAAAAAUCCUGCAGAGUGGAGGUGAAAAUGUAUUCCCUGUGGCUAUAAAGGAGUUUAGUUUUUUGUGAGUGUGUAAAUAUGCCCUGUGGCUUUUAUGAAUGCCUCCACAAGAUAGAAUUUUGAUCAAAAUCAAAAGGGAUUCCAAAGGAAAAAAGUCUCAUUUCUAAAUUGAAUGCAUAAAAAAUUGCUCGUUUGUUGACUGAAAGGCUACUGUGUGAUCUGUGCUUGUUGUUUACUUCUGUAAUCGCUGUAUCAUUAAUUGCUAACUAUCUUAUUCUAUCCCACAUCUGUGGAUGCAUGGUGUGAGCCCUUAGUCUUCAUGUGUAUGUACAGAUUCUUUCAGCAUUGGAGGGGGCUGUCUACACUGUUACGGUGAUCAGCAUUUUCUGUCACAGACAGAAAUUCUGUCACAGUUCAAGUGCAAUUGUUAUGGGUUUAGAAACAAAACAUCUCUGCAGUGCUGGUAUUUUCAAAGACUCAAUGUAGAUCAAAUUCCUAGCAAAUAUGUCCAGGUACCACAUGUGUGACAUUUCUUCCAUUUUUUUACCGCCAUUGCAGUAUAUAAUCUUCACUGCUGACACCUAAGUUUUCAUGCUGAUGAGACUUUUGCUUUGCAACAAUAAAAUAGAAAACAGAAAGUCA